AAAUCAUGGAAAGGACAUUUCCUAAGUAUUUCCUUAAAUCUCUCUCAACUAUCAUAAAUUGAUUCUCCUUUAAAUUGAGUAAAAGAAGUAAUAUCAUUUCUAAUUUU